CCGGCACGGCCCGCGGGCUCGGGAAUGCCCCCGGGGCCGGGCAGGAGCUGCCCCGCCACCACCGCACUCCUCGGACCCGCGGCUGCCCGGGUCACCUAGUGCCGGAGGUUAAACAGCGGAGAAGGGCUGGGAGAUACCGAAUGUGGAGUUUUGCUACUGUGUCUGCAGACGGAGUGACAGAGGCAGCGCAUCAAAGCUAACCACGACGUUCUGCAAGUAGGCUGUUCACUCUGAAGCCUACAACGCGUAAUUGAAAUGUGAUUAAUUCCUCUGCUGAUUAACACUUUGAAUAAACCUCCACCUAAAAUUCUUA